rnacentral:misc_RNA from 1 species
UACGAAGGGGACUAGCGUUGUUCGGAUUUACUGGGCGUAAAGCGCACGUAGGCGGAUCGUUAAGUCGGGGGUGAAAUCCCGGGGCUCAACCCCGGAACUGCCUUCGAUACUGGCGAUCUCGAGUCCGGAAGAGGUGAGUGGAACUCCUAGUGUAGAGGUGGAAUUCGUAGAUAUUAGGAAGAACACCAGUGGCGAAGGCGGCUCACUGGUCCGGUACUGACGCUGAGGUGCGAAAGCGUGGGGAGCAAACAGG